rnacentral:rRNA from 1 species
CGCGUAGGCGGUUUGUACAGUCAGGUGUGAAAUUCCCGGGCUCAACCUGGGGGCUGCACUUGAUACGUAUGGACUGGAGUGGGGAAGAGGGUCGUGGAAUUCCCAGUGUAGAGGUGAAAUUCGUAGAUAUUGGGAAGAACACCGGUGGCGAAGGCGGCGACCUGGUCCUUGACUGACGCUGAGGCGCGAAAGCGUGGGGAGAAAC